CCAGACUCCUACGGGAGGCAGCAGUGAGGAAUAUUGGUCAAUGGUCGGGAGACUGAACCAGCCAAGCCGCGUGAGGGAUGAAGGUACAGAGUAUCGUAAACCUCUUUUGUCAGGGAACAAAGGCGGGGACGCGUCCCCGGAUGAGUGUACCUGAAGAAAAAGCAUCGGCUAACUCCGUGCCAGCAGCCGCGGUAAUACGGAGGAUGCGAGCGUUAUCCGGAUUUAUUGGGUUUAAAGGGUGCGCAGGCGGUCUGUUAAGUCAGCGGUCAAAUACGGGGGCUCAACCUGCGUCCGCCGUUGAAACUGGCGUUCUUGAGUGGGCGAGAAGUACGCGGAAUGCGUGGUGUAGCGGUGAAAUGCAUAGAUAUCACGCAGAACCCCGAUUGCGAAGGCAGCGUACCGGCGCCCGACUGACGCUGAAGCACGAAAGCGUGGGUAUCGAACAGGAUUAGAUACCCCCGUA
rnacentral:rRNA from 1 species